GUGUAGAUCUGGAAAGAGCUCACAGGAGAGCAGGGGAAAUCUUGUUUCCUAUAGGAAAUCUGGUGUGAGAAAGAAACUACUCUGCCUUUCUGUCUGACAAGACGGAAUCCUUCAUUUCCUGAUGUUCUCAUGUUAAUACCCAAAGCAUGCUUGGCUGGCAAACUACACUGUCUGGGAACAAGGGAUGAAAGUUCUGGGGAGGAAAGAGAGACCAUGUGAGGUGCUGGCCUCCAUCAGCGAAUUCACCGGUCUGAAUGUGAUGAAGAUUGGUAUCUGAGAAGACAAAGGAAAUUGAAAAGCAGCAAGAGUCAGCCAGGUCAAGCCAUCCUGCAGGUGGAAACAAAUCCUGUCCAGCCUCGAAGCUGAAGAAUUAUCACAGUACCAGGGAGGAGGUUGUGCUUUGAGAGCUGGUUAUGAACAACUAUGGACACAAAGUGCAAACCCUAGCUCCUAGGAACGGAAGAAUUAACUAAGCUUUGGGGAUAACACUGUGUUUUCCUGUGGCAGCUCACUAACUGAUGAAGGUCCUGUUCCUCUCAUUUAUCAUUUUUCUUUCAGACAUGAUGUGAGCAGCAUUUCCUCUGCUAUGCCCUUCUGCCAUACUGUCCAGCCUUGGAUCCAUUGGACU